AGAGUUUGAUCCUGGCUCAGGAUGAACGCUGGCGGUAUGCUUAACACAUGCAAGUCGUACGGGAAAAUUUAUUUUCCUAGUGGCGGACGGGUGCGUAACACGUAAGAACCUACCUUUUGGAGGGGGAUAACAUCGGGAAACUGAUGCUAAUACCCCGUAAUAGCUGAGGAGUGAAAGCGGUUUUCCGCGCCAAGAGAGGGGCUUGCGGCUGAUUAGCUAGUUGGUGGGGGUAACGGCCUCCCAAGGCCACGAUCGGUAGCUGGUUUGAGAGGACGAUCAGCCACACUGGGACUGAGACACGGCCCAGACUCCUACGGGAGGCAGCAGUGAGGAAUUUUCCACAAUGGGCGAAAGCCUGAUGGAGCAAUACCGCGUGGAGGAAGAAGGUUCGUGGAUCGUAAACUCCUUUUCUCAGAGAAGAAGAUCUGACGGUAUCUGAGGAAUAAGCUCCGGCUAACUUUGUGCCAGCAGCCGCGGUAAUACAAGGGGAGCAAGCGUUAUCCGGAAUGAUUGGGCGUAAAGCGUCUGUAGGUGGUUCUUUAAGUCUACUGUCAAAUACGUUGGCUCAACCAACGGCAGGCAGUAGAGUACUAAAGAACUAGAGUGCGGUAGAGGUAGAGGGAAUCCCUAGCGUAACAGUGAAAUGUGUAGAUUUUAGGGGGAACACCAGCGGCGAAGGCGCUCUACUGGGCCGAUACUGACACUGAGAGACGAAAGCUAGAGGAGCGAAUAGGAUUAGAUACCCUAGUAGUUCUAGCUGUAAACGAUGGAAACUAAGAGGGGGUAACCCCCNUUCUGUAGCUAACGCGUUANGUUUCCCGCCUGGGG
rnacentral:rRNA from 1 species